rnacentral:rRNA from 1 species
AUUGAACGCUGGCGGCAUGCCUUACACAUGCAAGUCGAACGGUAACAGGUCUUCGGAUGCCGACGAGUGGCGAACGGGUGAGUAAUACAUCGGAACGUGCCUAGUAGUGGGGGAUAACUACUCGAAAGAGUGGCUAAUACCGCAUGAGAUCUACGGAUGAAAGCAGGGGAUCGCAAGACCUUGUGCUACUAGAGCGGCCGAGGGCAGAUUAGGUAGUUGGGGGGGUAAAAGCUUACCAAGCCGACGAUCUGUAGCUGGUCUGAGAGGACGAUCAGCCACACUGGGACUGAGAAACGGCCCAGACUCCUACGGGGGGCAGCAGUGGGGAAUUUUGGACAAUGGGCGCAAGCCUGAUCCAGCAAUGCCGCGUGCAGGAUGAAGGCCUUCGGGUUGUAAACUGCUUUUGUACGGAACGAAAAGCCCCGGGUUAAUACCCUGGGGUCAUGACGGUACCGUAAGAAUAAGCACCGGCUAACUACGUGCCAGCAGCCGCCGUAA